AGAGUUUGAUCCUGGCUCAGAACGUACGCUGGCGGCACGCCUAACACAUGCAAGUCGAACGAAGUAGCAAUACUUAGUGGCAGACGGGUGAGUAACAUGUAGGUAUCUGCCCUUUGGCCUGGAAUAACACGAGGAAACUUGUGCUAAUACCGGAUAAGUCUUUACGGAGAAAGCUUUAUGCACCAUUGGAUGAGCCUGCACUUGAUUAGUUUGUUGGUGGGGUAAUGGCCUACCAAGACUGUGAUCAAUAGCUGAUUUGAGAGGAUGAUCAGCCACAUUGGGACUGAGACACGGCCCAAACUCCUACGGGAGGCAGCAGUGGGGAAUCUUGCACAAUGGAGGAAACUCUGAUGCAGCGAUGCCGCGUGAGUGAAGAAGGCCUUUGGGUUGUAAAGCUCUUUCGUCGGGGAAGAAAAUGACUGUACCCGAAUAAGAAGGUCCGGCUAACUUCGUGCCAGCAGCCGCGGUAAUACGAAGGGACCUAGCGUAGUUCGGAAUUACUGGGCUUAAAGAGUUCGUAGGUGGUUGAAAAAGUUGGUGGUGAAAUCCCAGAGCUUAACUCUGGAACUGCCAUCAAAACUUUUCAGCUAGAGUAUGAUAGAGGAAAGCAGAAUUUCUAGUGUAGAGGUGAAAUUCGUAGAUAUUAGAAAGAAUACCAAUUGCGAAGGCAGCUUUCUGGAUCAUUACUGACACUGAGGAACGAAAGCAUGGGUAGCGAAGAGGAUUAGAUACCCUCGUAGUCCAUGCCGUAAACGAUGUGUGUUAGACGUUGGAAAUUAAUUUUCAGUGUCGCAGCGAAAGCGAUAAACACACCGCCUGGGGAGUACGACCGCAAGGUUAAAACUCAAAUGAAUUGACGGGGACCCGCACAAGUAGUGGAGCAUGUGGUUUAAUUCGAAGAUACGCGCAGAACCUUACCAACACUUGACAUGUUCGUCGCGACUUUAAGAGAUUAAAGUUUUCGGUUCGGCCGGACGAAACACAGGUGCUGCAUGGCUGUCGUCAGCUCGUGUCGUGAGAUGUUGGGUUAAGUCCCGCAACGAGCGCAACCCUCACUUUUAGUUGCCAUCAUUUAGUUGGGCACUCUGAAAGAACUGCCAGUGAUAAGCUGGAGGAAGGUGGGGAUGACGUCAAGUCCUCAUGGCCCUUACGUGUUGGGCUACACACGUGCUACAAUGGUAUUUACAACAGGAAGCAAGACGGCGACGUUAAGCAAAUCCUCAAAAGAUACCUCAGUUCGGAUUGCACUCUGCAACUCGAGUGCAUGAAGCUGGAAUUACUAGUAAUCGUGGAUCAGCGUGCCACGGUGAAUGCGUUCCCGGGUCUUGUACACACCGCCCGUCACACCAUGGGAGUUGGUUCUACCUUAAGGCAAGGUUUAAAACCCUUGACCACGGUAUAGUCAGCGACUGGGGUGAAGUCGUAACAAGGUAACC
rnacentral:rRNA from 1 species